GACGUAGGGCGCGAGCGUUGUCCGGAUUUAUUGGGCGUAAAGAGCUCGUAGGCGGCUUGUCGCGUCGAAUGUGAAAACUCGGGGCUCAACUCCGAGCUUGCAUUCGAUACGGGCAGGCUAGAGUUCGGUAGGGGAGACUGGAAUUCCUGGUGUAGCGGUGAAAUGCGCAGAUAUCAGGAGGAACACCGGUGGCGAAGGCGGGUCUCUGGGCCGAUACUGACGCUGAGGAGCGAAGAACGUGGGGAGCGAACGGG
rnacentral:rRNA from 1 species